GGUGCAGUGUCUGGCUCGGUGCAGGCCACUGACCGGCUGAUGAAGGAGCUCAGGGAUAUAUACCGAUCACAGAGUUUCAAAGGCGGAAACUAUGCAGUCGAACUCGUGAAUGACAGUCUGUAUGAUUGGAAUGUCAAACUCCUCAAGGCUGGAGCAGUGCCUACUCCAUAGAGUCAGUGAUCAUGCAGAUCAGUGCCACACUGGUGAAGGGGAAAGCACGAGUGCAGUUUGGAGCCAACAAAUCUCAAUACAGUCUGACAAGAGCACAGCAGUCCUACAAGUCCUUGGUGCAGAUCCACGAAAAAAACGGCUGGUACACACCCCCAAAAGAAGACGGCUAACCCUGGAGUAUCACCCUUCCUCCCUCCCC
rnacentral:ncRNA from 2 species